CCGUCAUGUAAAGGUGGGACUCAGUACAAAGUUUUAUUUUAUUUUGUUAAUUCUUUUUAAUUUUCAAAAUUUAAAUAUUAACGUUUUUCGGCUCAUUUUUCGAUUGUUUUUUCAAUUUUGAUAUAAAAAAACUUUCUGGCUUAAUCAACUCGAAGAGUAGAUACUUGGAAACAACGUGGAAAUUUACAAAACACGAGUUUAGCACGAAGGAUGUUUCAAUUUCUUAGUGGUUACCUCAGCAGUUUUUUUGUACUCACAAAAUUUGGUACUAUAGUUGGUCUUACUAUGACUACUGUUAAAUUUGUUGUGAGUAAGGACUCGACUAGUUUCUUAAUGACCAUAAGUUGCUUAGUAGGAAUGUUUGCACCUCACACUUUUGUGCAGAAAUUGACUACAGCGGCUGCUGGAGUGAGCGAUGAAAUAUAUAACCUUAAUUGGUACGAAGCGGAUACAUCAACGCGCAAAAUCAUUCUAAUUUUUCUUCAAACAACUCAAAAACCACUCGCAAUCGAGCUACCAUUUUUCGGCCAAUUCUCCCAUGUUGCAUUGGGAAUUGAAUACAAGAGAGUUUACAUUUUAUAUAAUUGGAUACUAACAAUUAUGAAAUAAAGAUUUAUUGUAACGAAUUUAUCGCAAAUAUUCAGCACCUAUUUUUAGAUGACACUUUUGAUGUUUAUGAUUUAACGCUAAGCAAAGACCCCCCAAGCUAAAAGCACACAUAAUCAAACAACUAAAGUUCACAAGUUCUUCAAGUAAGCUCAAAUAAGGAUGAAUUAUUUAGUUAGUUUUGCCCUGACGUUACUCUGCCUUUCGAAAGCGGUCGUUUCAGUACCCAUCAUCAGCGAACCAAAUUCGUUACAACAACUUUGUUAUUAUAUUAUGGACAACUUGAGAUUACAAGAAAAUACGAGUGGCAACAUUGAGGAUAAACACUCAGGACGUGGAAUCAAGAGACAAGCAGUUGAUCACGUGUUUUUGCGAUUUGGGAAACAAUUCGGCUUCUAAAUUACUAUUUUAAUGAAUCAUCACCAGUUUUCAACAUUUUGUUAUAGUAAUAUAGUCAAAAAAUAAAAAC